CGUGUMAUUUUUUAGGGUUUAGAUGGACCCGUAGGGCCGAGUGGACAGCCCGGUGAACCUGGUGCCAGAGGACUUGUCGGAGCCAGAGGGUCCCCUGGGCCACCUGGGCAGCCAGGUAUUACAGGUGUGGAUGGAGUUCAAGGAUCAAAGGGCAACCUGGUCAGUAUUUUUAACUUAAAAUGGGA